rnacentral:rRNA from 1 species
GCUUAACACAUGCAAGUCGAUCGGUAACGCGGGGGCAACCCUGGCGACGAGAGGCGGACGGGUGAGGAACGCUUGGGAAUCUGCCUAUCAGCGGGGGACAACACGGGGAAACUCGUGCUAAUACCGCAUACGCUCUACGGAGGAAAGCCGGGGACCGCAAGGCCUGGCACUGAUAGAUGAGCCCGCGUUGGAUUAGCUAGUUGGUGGGGUAAUGGCCUACCAAGGCGACGAUCCAUAGCUGGUCUGAGAGGAUGAUCAGCCACACUGGGACUGAGACACGGCCCAGACUCCUACGGGAGGCAGCAGUGGAGAAUAUUGGACAAUGGGCGAAAGCCUGAUCCAGCCAUGCCGCGUGAGUGAUGAAGGCCUUAGGGUUGUAAAGCUCUUUCAGUAGGGAAGAUAAUGACGGUACCUACAGAAGAAGCCCCGGCUAACUUCGUGCCAGCCGCCGCAGUAACAC